rnacentral:rRNA from 1 species
AAUGAACGUUGGCGGCGUGGAUUAGGCAUGCAAGUCGAGCGAGAACCGUAGCAAUACGGGGACAGCGGCGAAAGGGACAGUAAUGCGUAGGUACCUACCCUGAGGUUCGGGAUAGCUGCGGGAAACUGCAGGUAAUACCGAAUAAUGUAUUCGGACCAAAGGUGUGACUCCACCUUGGGAGGGGCCUGCGUCCUAUUAGCUAGUUGGGGAGGUAACGGCUCACCAAGGCAACGAUGGGUAGCGGGUGUGAGAGCACGACCCGCGUCAUUGGGACUGAGAUACUGCCCAGACACCUACGGGUGGCUGCAGUCGAGGAUCUUCGGCAAUGGGCGAAAGCCUGACCGAGCGACGCCGCGUGCGGGAUGAAGGCCUUCGGGUUGUAAACCGCUGUCGUAGAGGAGGAAAUGCAGGGGGGUUCUCCCCUCUGUUUGACCUAUUCUAGGAGGAAGGACGGGCUAAGUUCGUGCCAGCCGCCGCAGUAA